CAAUAGCGUAUAUUAAAGUUGUUGCGGUUAAAAAGCUCGUAGUUGGAUUUCUGUUGAGGAAGGCCGGUCCGCACUAUGUGCGUGUAUCUGGUUCUGCCUCGGCAUCCUCUCGAAUGCCGGGCUGCGCUUAAUUGCGUGGGUCGGACUCGGGACUUUUACUUUGAGGAAAUUAGAGUGUUCACGGCAGGCAAGCGCCAUGAAUAUAUUAGCAUGGAAUAAUGAUAUAGGAUCUUGGUCCUAUUUUGUUGGUUUCUAGGGCUAAGAUAAUGAUUAAUAGGGACAAUUGGGGGCAUUCGUAUUAACGCGUCAGAGGUGGAAUUCUUGGAUUGCGUUACGACGAACUACUGCGAAAGCAUUUGCCAAGGAUGUUUNCAUUGA
rnacentral:rRNA from 1 species